rfam:Enterocytozoon bieneusi H348 ctg01_390, whole genome shotgun sequence.
UUGGGGGGGGCACUUGCAAAAGCUUUUUGGGAAGUUUGGGUGGGGCGGGCACGACUACUAAAACAUAAGGUGGAGGUCCAAAGGUAAGUUCGAGGGGGAUGGAAACAUUCCGAGAUAUAAAGGGCAAAAGCUUGCCUUAGUUAUUAAUGUAAAUUAAUAAUACGGAAACAGGGGCCUAGAGAUCCUCUAUGAAACUAAGCAUAGAGGUGACGGAAAAGUUACCACAGGGAUAACUGGCUUGUGGCGGCCGAGCGUCCAUAGCGACGCCGCUUUUUGAUUCUUCGAUGUCGGCUCUUCCGAGCAUGGUGGAGUAUCAGCCACCAAGUGUGUGAUUGUUCACCAACUAACAGGGAACGUGAGCUGGGUUUAGACCGUCGCGAGACAGGUUAGUUUUACCCUACUGCAUCGCGUCCGAGAGUAGGUCGGGGCAGUACGAGAGGAAGUGCCGAUCAGAACCGCUGGUGAUACUUUCGUCUGUUAAGGCGCGAAGUGUAGCUACGUUCUUCUUAUAAUAGCUGAAAGCCUCUAAGCUAGAAUGAGUACUUAAGGACGCAAAGAUAUGAAGACUACAUAUGUAAGGAUGAGGGUUGUACGAUAUAAGCUUCUGCGAGUAUUUCAGACCACUUAUUUCCUUUUUUAGAACAUGCUUGCUCGGAUACAUACAGGAAUUCCGGGGAAAGGAAAAAUUUAUUUUUU